CUUAUACACUCCUGCGUGUGGAGUGCGACCAUUUGCGCAGUUGACACCUCAACACACUCCCGCUUGUGGCGCAUGCUGGCGCACCUUCGUAGCACGCGUCGCCUGCCAGCGUGAAGGUGUCAAGGCACAAUUUGGCGUUUCCUGUAUAAAUUGCACGUUGCCCCGGCUCGUGGACACAUGCACCGCAGACUCUGAGGACUAAACACGCACGUUCAACUCGCAAGAACUAUGGAACACUCUACCUGUCAGACUGGAACUAAGGAGAUUACAAGUAUGUCUCGUGCUGGAUAUAUCAGUGAAAACGCAGUGCAGGAGCGCGUCCUGUUUUGGAGACCAUGGACACCAGAGCAGUGUGGACAAAGGAUGGGCUCACUUUCGGCUUAUACCAACACCUCUGCUGAAUUACCCAAUGGCAUGAAAACCAACGGCAUGUCCCACCCUGUAAAGUUGUUCUGGCCGAAAUCGCGAUGCUUCGAUUAUCUGUACCAUGACGCAGAGGUGCUACUCCGGAACUACCCCGUCCAGGCGACCAUCUGCC
ensembl:lncRNA